rnacentral:rRNA from 1 species
UUCACCUACGGGGCGCAGCAGUGGGGGAUAUUGGACAAUGGGGGAAACCCUGAUCCAGCGAUGCCGCGUGAGGGAAGAAGGUUUUCGGAUUGUAAACCUCUGUGGACAGGGACGAUAAUGACGGUACCUGUCAAGAAAGCCACGGCUAACUACGUGCCAGCAGCCGCGGUAAUACGUAGGUGGCGAGCGUUGUCCGGAAUUACUGGGUGUAAAGGGAGUGUAGGCGGGAAGGCAAGUCCGUAGGGAAAAUUAUGGGCUCAACCCAUAACCUGCGUUUGAAACU